UAUGAGUAUCUACUCGGGAUCAGUCUAGAAUAGUCCUCUAAGAUCUAAAUUUUGAUUUUUCAAAAUUCAGCCUGCUGAAUCUAAACGAAGCCUGGAUCGUGAUUAGCGUUUGAUCUUUCUUCUUGAUCCUUACCUUCUCUUCUUCUCUAGCCUUUCUCCUUGCCUUGUUGUGCUACAAGAGAUCAACAACCAGCAGAUGAAAGGCCACCCAACACCUUGGGCAUGUGCAACACUUGGGACACGCAUCCCAAGUAUGGGGCGUAUAUGGGAUGCCUAAGGAAGAAGAAGAGAAAGGGAGAAGGAAGAGGGGCGUGGGGAGCUCUUUGGGAAUUGAG
rnacentral:lncRNA from 1 species